UUUUAAGGCUGAAGGAGGUUAGGUUUAGUUUAGAUAUCAAGAGGAAAUCCUUUACUGGGAGGGUGGUGAGACCCUGGCACAGGUUGCCCAGAGAAGCUGUGGCUGCCCCAU